rnacentral:misc_RNA from 1 species
GAUGAAGAACGUAGCGAAAUGCGAUAAGUAAUGUGAAUUGCAGAAUUCAGUGAAUCAUCGAAUCUUUGAACGCACAUUGCGCCCGCCAGUAUUCUGGCGGGCAUGCCUGUCCGAGCGUCAUUUCAACCAUCAAGCCCCCGGGCUUGCGUUGGGGACCUGCGGCUGCCCGCAGGCCCUGAAAACCAGUGGCGGGCUCGCUGUCACACCGAGCGUAGUAGCAAUCACCUCGCUCAGGGCGUGCUGCGGGUUCCGGCCGUUAAACAGCCUUACAAAACCCAAGGUUGACCUCGGAUCAGGUAGGAAGACCCGCUGAACUUAAGCAUAUCAAUAAGCGGAGGA